AGCCAGCAGCCGCGGUAAUACAGAGGUCCCAAGCGUUGUUCGGAUUCACUGGGCGUAAAGGGUGCGUAGGUGGUGAGGUAAGUCGGAUGUGAAAUCUCGGAGCUUAACUCCGAAACUGCAUUGGAAACUACCUUGCUGGAGGGUUGGAAGGGGGACUGGAAUUCUCGGUGUAGCAGUGAAAUGCGUAGAUAUCGAGAGGAACACCAGUGGCGAAGGCGAGUCCCUGGACAAUCCCUGACACUGAGGCACGAAAGCUAGGGGAGCAAACAGGAUUAGAUACCCUGGUAGUCCUAGCUGUAAACGGUGCAUGCUUGCUGUAAAAGGAAUCGACCCCUUUUGUGGCGUAGCCAACGCGUUAAGCAUGCCGCCUGGGAAGUACGGUCGCAAGAUUAAAACUCAAAGGAAUUGACGGGGGCCCGCACA
rnacentral:rRNA from 1 species